rnacentral:rRNA from 1 species
GCUCAACCGGGGAGGGUCAUUGGAAACUGGGAAACUUGAGUGCAGAAGAGGAGAGUGGAAUUCCACGUGUAGCGGUGAAAUGCGUAGAGAUGUGGAGGAACACCAGUGGCGAAGGCGACUCUCUGGUCUGUAACUGACGCUGAGGAGCGAAAGCGUGGGGAGCGAACAGGAUUAGAUACCCUGGUAGUCCACGCCGUAAACGAUGAGUGCUAAGUGUUAGGGGGUUUCCGCCCCUUAGUGCUGCAGCUAACGCAUUAAGCACUCCGCCUGGGGAGUACGGUCGCAAGACUGAAACUCAAAGGAAUUGACGGGGGCCCGCACAAGCGGUGGAGCAUGUGGUUUAAUUCGAAGCAACGCGAAGAACCUUACCAGGUCUUGACAUCCUCUGACAACCCUAGAGAUAGGGCUUUCCCUUCGGGGACAGAGUGACAGGUGGUGCAUGGUUGUCGUCAGCUCGUGUCGUGAGAUGUUGGGUUAAGUCCCGCGACGAGCGCAACCCUUGAUCUUAGUUGCCAGCAUUCAGUUGGGCACUCUAAGGUGACUGCCGGUGACAAACCGGAGGAAGGUGGGGAUGACGUCAAAUCAUCAUGCCCCUUAUGACCUGGGCUACACACGUGCUACAAUGGACAGAACAAAG